rnacentral:rRNA from 1 species
AGUUUGAUCCUGGCUCAGGAUGAACGCUGGCGGCAUGCCUAAUACAUGCAAGUCGAACGAAGUUUCGAGGAAGCUUGCUUCCAAAGAGACUUAGUGGCGAACGGGUGAGUAACACGUAGGUAACCUGCCCAUGUGUCCGGGAUAACUGCUGGAAACGGUAGCUAAAACCGGAUAGGUAUACAGAGCGCAUGCUCAGUAUAUUAAAGCGCCCAUCAAGGCGUGAACAUGGAUGGACCUGCGGCGCAUUAGCUAGUUGGUGAGGUAACGGCCCACCAAGGCGAUGAUGCGUAGCCGGCCUGAGAGGGUAAACGGCCACAUUGGGACUGAGACACGGCCCAAACUCCUACGGGAGGCAGCAGUAGGGAAUUUUCGUCAAUGGGGGAAACCCUGAACGAGCAAUGCCGCGUGAGUGAAGAAGGUCUUCGGAUCGUAAAGCUCUGUUGUAAGUGAAGAACGGCUCAUAGAGGAAAUGCUAUGGGAGUGACGGUAGCUUAC